UCAUCUUCAACCUUCAACAACCAUCCAUUAUUUCUAAAGAGAAAAGAAAGCUUCAAAACUCUUGAUCUUUCGACAAUAAUUUCAAGUAAGCCUCUAAACCAUUUUUCUUUUAUUUUUAUAGAUUUAUGAUCAUGAGAGCUUGAUUUAUCUAGCCCAUGUAUCAACUUGUUCAAUUAUUGAAAUUUUGAUAAGUUUCCAUUGUUGAGAAAUUGAAAAAUCAAGCUUGAAAUUGAUAGAAAUUAAGCUUAGCUUAUGAAAGGACUAAAUUGUAAAACUUAUUAAGUUUAGUUGUUAAAUUUGUUACAUUAGAGACCAAAUUGAAUAAAAUGAAAACUUGUUAUGAAAUUAUAUUAGGAAUAGAAAGUAUAGGGUUCCAAAUGAGUAAAUGUAAAAUCAAAUUUUAAUUCGAAGCUAUAUAUCAAAAGUUAUGCAAAUCCCAAGUUUAGGGACUAAAUGGAAUAAAAAGUAAAAUAUGCUUCAUAUUUGAAUGUGAAUUGGAUGAAAUUUUAUAUUGCUUAUUUAUUGAAUUAUUAUUCGUAGCUAAAGACGACGCUGAGUUGUUGAGAGGGAAAGGAAAAGUGAGUGCUGACGACGAGUGACACGGAAUUUCGAUUUGUAUUUCUAUGAUUUGAGAUCAAUUUACCUAAAGCAUUUUCAUGGUAUUGAGGUGAGUUGAUAUUGGUUGUUUGAACUGAAUUGCUAUGAUUGAGAUUAAAUAUCAAGAUAGUGGACUAAAUUGAAUAAAAUAGAAAAUAACAUGACUUAAUUUAUAUAUGUUAUUUGGUAUGGAAUUGAAUUGAAUUGAAUCAUGUUAUAUGAUAUGAUGAAAUGGUGAAAUGAUGAUGAAUUGAGAAUGAUGAAAUAUGAGUUGAACUAUAUGAUGAAAUUGGAAAAUUGGUUACCCUAUUAUCUGUUCGAGCAGAGUCGGAUAUAAUUGGCAUGCCAUGGGAUAGAUAAAGUAUGGUUUACUUUGACUUUAUGUCGAUAAGUUCUGGGCACAAUUUUUACUUCGAUUAUACCAAUGAGCACUGGGCACAAUCUAUAUACUUUAGACGUUCCGAUGAGGCAUUGGGUACCAAAUUGAUUUGUUGGCUGGAAUCCGUGUAUCCAUUCAAGUCUGAGUCAUAUUAAUAGGGAAUAUAACUGUAAAUUGAUUAAAUUAUUUUUUAAAUGAAUUGAAAAUAUGAGUUGGUAAUACAACAUAUGUAUAUUUGCGAUAUAUGAAUAUCAAUAGGAUGUAAAAAACCAUGCAAACUGAUUAUAUGAGCCCAGAGGGCCUAUAUGGAAAACGGUGAAUUAAACUACUUGAUUUGGAAAUGAUAUGUUGAUAUAAUCAAAUGUUAUGAAUUGAAUAGAAAGGUAAACGUUAUUAAUACUAAUAUGUUAGUAUGAUAUGUUCACUUAGAUUAGUUAAUUGAGACAAUGUUUGGUUUGAUUCAUAUGACAUAAUUUGGUACACUUAGUGACAUAUGCAUAAUUGAUAUGUUGAUUGAGAAUUGGUGUGGAUGGUACAUGAGUCGAUUAUAUUAGAACUUGAAUCAAUUUUGUUCAAAUGAAUAAUUGUUAUAUUUAAUUAACUUGAAUCAUGGAAGUACCACUGACCUUUAUUGUUCUGUGUACGGUUUUGUUUAUUCCAUGAGUCGAGCUGUUAGGCGACAUCGACCUGAUGGCUUGCCGCGGAUGUGACCUGUUGGUCACGGGUCCAGGUUCCAAUAACUGGAAAUUAU
rnacentral:lncRNA from 1 species